rnacentral:rRNA from 1 species
UACGAGGGGUGCAAGCGUUGCUCGGAAUUAUUGGGCGUAAAGGGUAGGUAGGUGGUCUCAUUUGUCUGGGGUGAAAGCCUUGAGCUUAACUCAAGAAGUGCCCCAGAAACGGUGAGACUCGAAUCUUGGAGAGGGUCGUGGAAUUCCCGGUGUAGCGGUGAAAUGCGUAGAGAUCGGGAGGAACACCAGAGGCGAAGGCGGGUUGCUGGGCUGAUACUGACGCUGAGGAGCGAAAGCGUGGGGAGCGAACAGG